GGAGGAGUGUGGUGUGGUUUGUGUGUCCUGCUCUGUGUGCUACUGCUGGGUGCUGUGAGGGGAAUUCAUGCGAGCUCUGAAUCCGCGACAUGUCUAGGGCUCUCUCUGGCCAGAGGCUGGAAGGACAGAGCUAGGAAGGCCUCACUGUCUGAGCCUUUUGAUCUUUGAUCCCUUAAUGGAGUAGCUGCUACUUUCCUGAGAACUGGUUGGUUGUAUCAGCCAAUGAAGCACUCUGGAAUCAGAGCUGCACUGAGGAGACUGUAAGACUUCCCUGCAUGAAAUUGUGAGGUUGACGCCUGAGUUGCAAUUUGAGACCACAAGAUGCUGACCCAUCUGAGUGAUGAGACAUCUGCAUGGACCGCUGUGUGUAGGGAGUGGAAGUAACCAAAGAGGAAGAUUUAUGAGAAGUUGAAGGAGUAGGGCCAUCUAAGUCCUUUGAACCUGAAGCUGCAUGAGUCUGAGACACAACUACAGGAUUGGGUGUUUGUCCUGCUGGGGUUCUGUCUUGCUUUGGUUUAAUCUUCUCUAACUUUAUAAUUCCUUUUUUUUUUUUUUGGAAUGGGAAUAUGUAUUCUAUGCCUCUGUAUGGUGGAAAGGUAUAAAUUGUUUUCUGAUUUUACAAGAUGUAUCUGUCAAGAGAAUGCCUUGACUGUCAACACAGAGUUUGGACAUUCGAACAGGGUAAACAUUGUUGCAGAAUAUAGGAAUUAGUAAAGUUAGACUAUAAAUGUUUUCAUCCUGCGAUGACCAUGAACUUACAGUGACUAGAGUUAGAAUGCAGUCAAUUGAAGGAAAAAUCUUCCUAUCUGUGAUGAUGUCUUUGCACAUCAUUUGUCCUUAAUAACUAUUUGCAGGGAAGUCUUUGAAGCUUGUAUAAGAGGAAAGUUUCUAAAUGAAAGUCCUCUUUGAGGAUAGGAUUGGAGUGUUCAUAGACCCAUUUCCUGUUCUUUGUGUCUACAGGUUUGUGGUUAAAAGUGAUCAGUCACCUUCUUUCUCAUGCUGUCAUCAUAUAGACUCUAUCCUAAAUCAAAUAUGAUAGUGGAGAAGCAAUUCCCAUUCAGUCCUACCUGAUUUUGCUAUUGUAAUGUUUUUAUAGUUUUAAUUUUGUUGUUUUUCUUUUUGAAGACAGGGUUUCUCUGUGAAACCCUGGAUGUCCUGGAAGUAGUUAUGUAGACUAGAAUGUACCUACAUUUAGAGAUCUACCUAUCUGGCUCUUCUCAUGGGAUUCUAUAUGGGUCAAGAUGCCUGGCUUUAUUGUUUCUGGGCCUGGAAUGGAUUUUUUUUUUUUUUUGCACAUGACAAGCAUGUAUUGUUGUUUUGUGCUUCACUUACAUUUUGAACAAUAAAAUUUACCUGAGAGUAUUAUUC
rnacentral:lncRNA from 1 species